rnacentral:rRNA from 1 species
AACGAACGCUGGCGGCAUGCCUAGCACAUGCAAGUCGAACGAUCCCUUCGGGGAUAGUGGCGCACGGGUGCGUAACGCGUGGGAACCUGCCCUUAGGUUCGGACUAACUCAGAGAAAUUUGCGCUAAUAACGGAUAAUGUCUUCGGACCAAAGACUUAUUGCCUUUGGAUGGGCCCGCGUUGGAUUAGCUAGGUGGUGGGGUAAACGCCUACCAAGGCGACGAUCCAUAGCUGGUCUGAGAGGAUGAUCAGCCACACUGGUACUGAGACACGGCCCAGACUCCUACGGGAGGCAGCAGUGGGGAAUAUUGGACAAUGGGCGAAAGCCUGAUCCAGCAAUGCCGCGUGAGUGAUGAAGGCCUUAGGGUUGUAAAGCUCUUUUACCCGGGAUGAUAAUGACAGUACCGGGAGAAUAAGCCCCGGCUAACUCCGUG